rnacentral:rRNA from 1 species
GAUGAACGCUAGCGGCAGGCCUAAUACAUGCAAGUCGAACGGAUAUAUGUUUUUCGGAAUAUAUAUUAGUGGCGCACGGGUGAGUAACACGUACAUAACUUGCCCUCAAGUGGGGGAUAGCCUUGGGAAACUGAGAGUAAUACCCCAUAGAAUUAUUGGACGGCAUCGUUUGAUAAUUAAAACUACGGUGUUUGGGGAUAGAUGUGCGUCUGAUUAGCUAGUUGGUGAGGUAACUGCUCACCAAGGCGACGAUCAGUAGGGGGCGUGAGAGCGUGGCCCCCCCACACGGGUACUGAGACACGGACCCGACUCCUACGGGAGGCAGCAGUAAGGAAUAUUGGUCAAUGGAGGGAACUCUGAACCGGCCAUGCCGCGUGAAGGAUGACGGCCCUCUGGGUUGUAAACUUCUUUUGGAUGGGGCGAAAAAACGGGAUUUAUCCUGGACUGACGGUACCAUCAGAAUAAGCACCGGCUAACUCCGUG